AAUGCUCCAAUGACUAGGAAUGUUUAAGAUUAAGGUUUUAGAGUUAAAGGUCUCACUAGCAUGACCCAUUCAUGUCUCCUAAAAUUAUUGCCCUAAUCUUUAGGGUUUAUCAUAAUCUUAGACAUAAUAAGUUGCAGCUAAUAUGAUGAAUCAGUACCUCAAAUAAUAAUAUCAUUUCAUGAGUUAGAAAAUUAUAAAGAAAAGUUCUAUUGCAACACACUUGUUAUUGGCUUAU
rnacentral:lncRNA from 1 species